rnacentral:rRNA from 1 species
UACGAAGGGGGCUAGCGUUGCUCGGAAUCACUGGGCGUAAAGCGCACGUAGGCGGACUCUUAAGUCGGUGGUGAAAUCCUGGAGCUCAACUCCAGAACUGCCUUCGAUACUGGGAGUCUCGAGUUCGGGAGAGGUGAGUGGAACUGCGAGUGUAGAGGUGAAAUUCGUAGAUAUUCGCAAGAACACCAGUGGCGAAGGCGGCUCACUGGCCCGAUACUGACGCUGAGGUGCGAAAGCUAGGGGAGCAAACGGG